rnacentral:rRNA from 1 species
UACGUAGGUGGCAAGCGUUGUCCGGAUUUACUGGGCGUAAAGAGCGCGCAGGCGGUCGUUCAAGUCGCGUGUGAAAGCCCCCGGCUCAACUGGGGAGGGUCACGCGAUACUGAUCGACUCGAAGGCAGAAGAGGGAAGUGGAAUUCCCGGUGUAGUGGUGAAAUGCGUAGAUAUCGGGAGGAACACCAGUGGCGAAGGCGACUUCCUGGCCUGUUCUUGACGCUGAGGCGCGAAAGCUAGGGGAGCAAACGGG